UACGUAGGGCGCAAGCGUUAUCCGGAAUUAUUGGGCGUAAAGAGCUCGUAGGCGGUUUGUCGCGUCUGCCGUGAAAGUCCGGGGCUCAACUCCGGAUCUGCGGUGGGUACGGGCAGACUAGAGUGAUGUAGGGGAGACUGGAAUUCCUGGUGUAGCGGUGAAAUGCGCAGAUAUCAGGAGGAACACCGAUGGCGAAGGCAGGUCUCUGGGCAUUAACUGACGCUGAGGAAGCGGAAAGCAUGGGGAGCGAACAGG
rnacentral:rRNA from 1 species